rnacentral:rRNA from 1 species
AGUGAACGCUGGCGGUAGGCCUAACACAUGCAAGUCGAACGGCAGCACAGUAAGAGCUUGCUCUUACGGGUGGCGAGUGGCGGACGGGUGAGGAAUACAUCGGAAUCUACUUUUUCGUGGGGGAUAACGUAGGGAAACUUACGCUAAUGCCGCAUACGACCUACGGGUGAAAGCAGGGGAUCUUCGGACCUUGCGCGAUUGAAUGAGCCGAUGUCGGAUUAGCUAGUUGGCGGGGUAAAGGCCCACCAAGGCGACGAUCCGUAGCUGGUCUGAGAGGAUGAUCAGCCACACUGGAACUGAGACACGGUCCAGACUCCUACGGGAGGCAGCAGUGGGGAAUAUUGGACAAUGGGCGCAAGCCUGAUCCAGCCAUACCGCGUGGGUGAAGAAGGCCUUCGGGUUGCAAAGCCCUUUUGUUGGGAAAGAAAAGCAGCAGGUUAAUACCCCGCUGUUCUGACGGUACCCAAAGAAUAAGCACCGGCUAACUUCGUG